UACGAACUGUGCGAACGUUAUUCGGAAUCACUGGGCUUACAGGGUGCGUAGGCGGCUUUUCAAGUCAGGUGUGAAAGCCCCCGGCUCAACCGGGGAAUUGCGCUUGAAACUAGCGGGCUUGAGUGUGGCAGAGGGGGGUGGAAUUCCACGUGUAGCAGUGAAAUGCGUAGAGAUGUGGAGGAACACCGAUGGCGAAGGCAGCCCCCUGGGUCAACACUGACGCUCAUGCACGAAAGCGUGGGGAGCAAACAGG
rnacentral:rRNA from 1 species